rnacentral:lncRNA from 1 species
GACUGGAAAGUCUGACAGACGCCUGGCCGGCAGGGAAGAAGUGGAGCACAAGGAGAGCCCACCUCCUUGCUAAGGGGGCCUGGCCACCCAAAUCCGUCUUCAGUCUCCUGGGGCAAGAGUUUUGGAUUUGGAAAAACGUGAGGGGGAGA